AAGUUUCAUACAUACCCAUUAUUAUCCAACUAAUUAACAAAAAUAACUAAAUUGAAGGAUUCAAGAUAUUUAAGAAAAACAGAUAGGGAACAUGAUAGUCCCAAACAUGCCUAACAGUGACAGGCUGUUCUUCCAUUGUAAUUUGUUUGUUCAUCCAGUGGCUCACUGCGUCCUACCCAUCACAAGAAUGGAAACUACCUAUGGUUUGAUUCAGCAAAUUAUAGAAUGGAAACCAUGAAAACCUAAAGAAUUAAUUCAAUGACACAAUGCUUGAUCGCUGACUGUAUGGAAGGGUAUCCGACGGUUGAGAUUUCUUGUUUUUGAGUCGAUGGCGUAGAUGGUCGGACUAAAUUAACAAGGCCCACUUUCUUAAUAAAUUUCGCACUUUAGUUCUUGCCUCUUGGUCAAUGUCGGUCCCACUUCCAUCUUUCGUUAUUCACUUUGUAAACGGCGCCGUGUAGUAUCUUGAUCGCAAGAAACGAGGUGUCGCUUAAUGAGAAAAACGCCAAUCUGAGCGCAAGUAUUUUUGAGCCUCUCAAAGGAAGCAAGAGCA
rnacentral:misc_RNA from 1 species